UGGGGAAUCUUGCGCAAUGGGCGAAAGCCUGACGCAGCAACGCCGCGUGCGGGACGAAGGCCUUCGGGUCGUAAACCGCUUUCAGCAGGAACGAAAAUGACGGUACCUGCAGAAGAAGGUCCGGCUAACUACGUGCCAGCAGCCGCGGUAAUACGUAGGGGCCGAGCGUUGUCCGGAUUCAUUGGGCGUAAAGAGCUCGUAGGCGGUCGCGUAAGUCGGGUGUGAAAUCUCCGGGCUCAACCCGGAGGGGCCACCCGAUACUGCUCGACUCGAGUCCGGUAGGGGAGUGGGGAAUUCCUGGUGUAGCGGUGAAAUGCGCAGAUAUCAGGAGGAACACCGGUGGCGAAGGCGCCACUCUGGGCCGGUACUGACGCUGAGGAGCGAAAGCGUGGGGAGCAAACAGG
rnacentral:rRNA from 1 species